ACUCCCGGAUUGUUUUACGUAUCGGCACUGUUUGGUUUUUUAUUAGUCAAUAUGUAUUGAUUUUUUAUUUCCGCCAAAUGUGCUUUGAAAGUUUCACGACAGAAAAUUCAUUGUAUUUCGUGUAUAAUGGUGCUGAUACCACAGAGUAAGUUUUUAUUACUUGUAUUAUGAACUUUGCUGAUCACCGGAUAAGUGAUCUUUCUGUAAUUUUUGUAUUUUUUGUGUGAAGUGGUGAAUUGUGUGCAUUUUGACCGGUAUUUGUUUACAUCCUUGUAACGCCCGUUAACUGCUUAUUUUGAGUUUUCAUGUAUAAGUUAAGAUAAUUAACCUAUCUGGUCUGACUUUGCCCGAUUAAAUUUUUUAUUUUAAAUCUGCGUUACUCAGUUGGUUUGAAGAAAAUAUUUCUAUGGAACGCCAUUUGUGUCAUUUAAUGAACGUACAGUUUUUACAUUUUUUACUUCACAUUGAUUAGAAUUGCUUUAUAUCAUAAUUGUUUGUGUGUAUGAAGAUAUAUUUUGCUUGUAAGGUUGUAUAAAUGUUUAUCUACAUGUAGGUAACUGUUAUAUCAUUCACAUGCAGUUUUCUAUGGUUUACAAGUUAUGGCUAUCAGUUAGUGACAUAAUUGUAAUUUUUUAGGUAACACUUUGCCAUUGUUUUGCAAACAUGGUAAUUUGUUUUAUUUUGUAUCUUUUCAGUUUUGUACCCUCCCCGGAGGUUCUGUGUAUGAAUAAAGAAUUUACGAUAUUGGAUUUGUCUUCCUUAAGACUGCACAGUACAAAAUCUGCAACAAUCAGCUAGACAACCAGUCAUGAGUUCAGAUCCAGGAUCUUUAAUGGCUUUUCAACGAGAAAGGAAAUUGAACCCAAAAGGCCAAGAACAAUACAAAUUACAGACAGAAAAAUAUUUAGACAAACUACGGAAACUUAAACGGGUCAUCGAUUCAUAUAUAUUCAGUAUAGAUGUUAACAACUUGCCUGAUCAACAACAAGUGAAGCAAAUUCGUCAGGAUGUUAUAGACAGAUUUAAUGCCUUCACACAGGAGUCUACUCACUUCAUACUGUUUCUUCAAGGUACACGCACUAAAGAGAGCAGUCAGGAAGAGUCUGGUCACCAUGUUAUAGUGCAAUCAUUGAAAAGUAAAGUUGACAAUUUCAUUGCUAUUAUUGACAAACAUUUACAUAAUCCAAAUGUCAGCAAAAAGGAAAAGAAAAAUAGUGUUAAAUCGAAUCCUCAAUUAGCAUCAACUAUGAAGUUAGUGAAGCAAGACAGUGUAAAAUCUAGUCCAACAGUCAAAAUAGAAAGAAAAAGUAGUGUCAAGUCUCAUCGUGUUUCGAAGAAGUCUGAUUUAGAUUAUCAUAGUACUAAAACAAAGCGAAGUUCACUAGAAUCGUUCACUUCACAUGCAUCAGAAAUGCUCGUAAAGGAACAAGUAAAGUUGGAAGCUGCAAAGGUGCGGUUAAAAUAUACUGAACAAGAGCAAGAGCUAACACGUCAAAAAGCUGCUCUCGAUGCAAACUUGGAAAAGCUUGUGAGGGAACGUGAGGUUGACGAGGCAGAGUCAAAGGUUCGAACUAUUCAGGAGGCAUUGCAAGGCAGUAGCGAGGACAGUUCAACAGAGAAUUCUGAUGUCAAUGAUGAUUUUGUGUUUGAUAGAACUGAACAAUUUGUAAUUCAAGAUUCUUAUGAACGUUUAAGUGGAAAAGAUAAAAUACUCCAUACUGACAGCAAACUCAAUGACGUGACAAUUAUUCAAACAGUUGCUGACGUGCAUGCAACUCACGAUGAUUGUAACAACAACAAAGUCAACAAAAUUAUUCAAGAUAUCAAACCUGUUCAAACUACCAAUGUUGUCAAGUCAGGUCAAAUGAUAAAAACCGGACCAGAUCUAACUAAGAAGAACGUUCAAAAUGUGCAUUAUGGUAAAUUUAUCGACACUGUACAAGAAACAAAUCACGAUAAGACUUUGAAUGCAGAAGCGCCUGUCUUCAUUCCAUCUACAAAAGAAGUAAACAUGUGUGAUGAAUUUUCACGAUUCAUGGUUAGAAAGGAACUCGUGUUUUCACGUCUGACAAAGUAUGAUGAUCAACCUGAUAUGUACAUUGCAUGGAAAUCAAUGUUCGAAAACAUAGCCCAUGAGUUAAGGCUUACAGCAGCAGAGGAAGUGGACCUCUUAGUGAAAUGGCUUGGACCGACAUCGUCCAAACAAGCUCUUAGAAUUCGCUCUGCUAAUGCUGACAAUCCAGAGAAAUGUCGCGAUCGUAUAUGGGAAAGACUCGAGGAUCGAUUUGGUCGACCAGAAUUGGUGGAGGAUACCAUCAAACGUAAAAUUGCAUCGUUUACUAAAAUAACAACUAAGGACUACCGACCACUUUUCGACCUGUCAGAUAUUGUAGAGGAGAUAAGUUCUAUCAUGAAUAGUGUACGUUAUCAUUCAGUAUUUUCACACUUCAACUCAUCAUCAGGAGUCAAUCAAAUUGUGUUAAAACUUCCUUAUAACUUACAAGAAAAAUGGACUCAGGAAGCUAACAGAUAUAAAACAAGGAAUAACGUCAUGUAUCCUCCAUUCAGUGUUUUCGCCAAUUUCAUCUCCAACAUGGCAAAACUUAGGAACGAUCCUAGUUUUCAAUAUGAGCCUUUUAUAGAACCAAACAGUCAACAGAGGCCCCGUAAAACUGGACCAGUUCAUGUGUCUGCCAGGAUAACGCAAUCAGAGGACCUUCAUAAUGGUCCAAAAAUUAACUCGUCAUCUCGUCAAAAUCUGGAUAGUCACCCAGUUGAAUCAUUAUCUUGUCCAAUUCAUGGAACAAACCAUACCCUAAAUAUGUGUCGUGGAUUCCGUUUGAAACCCAUUUCUGAGAGAAAAGACUUUCUAAAGAAAAAUGGACUUUGCUACCGGUGUUGUGGACCAAAAAAGCAUUUGAGCAAAAAUUGUACAGAAACCGUAAAAUGUAUCGUAUGCAAAAGCAAUCGACAUCCAUCAGCAUUACACAUUGACGUGUCAAAGUCUCAUGAUUCUUCAGAUACCGGUAAUUCCCACGGAGGGGAGGAAACUGUGGAAAAUAAGUGUACUCAGGUAUGCGGAACGAACAUUGGAACAAGUAAAUCUUGUGCUAAAAUCAUACUUGUUAAUGUCUUCCCAAAAGACAACCCGACCAAUGUACGACAGGUUUACUGUUUAAUAGAUGAUCAGAGUAAUAGGUCACUUGCCACUGCAAAAUUCUUCGAUGAGUUUGAAGAAAACGGUAAAGACUCAGAAUAUGUGUUAACGACUUGCUCUGGUCAAUUUACUUCCUCAGGUCGUCGAGCUAAGAACUAUAUCGUUGAGAGUGUCAACCAUGAAAAUCAACUGUUACUCCCUGAAAUCAUAGAAUGUCAAGAGAUACCGAACAACAGGCACGAAAUACCGUCACAAGAGUUAGCUAGAAAAUUUGAUCAUUUGAAAGAUAUUGCUCAGUUUAUACAGCCAAUUCAGUCCGAUGUUAGCAUAGAACUUUUGAUCGGCAGAGAUUUAAUAUCUUCGCAUUAUGUGUUAGAUCAUCGCAUUGGGAAAGAUGGACUUCCGUAUGCGCAAAAACUCCCACUAGGAUGGGUGAUACUUGGAGAAACAUGCCUUGGUAAAGUGCAUUACCCUGACAUCGUCCAUGUCAACAAGACACACGUAUUAGAAGAUGGAAGAGCUACAUUUUUUAAGCCUUGUGAGUAUGAAUUGAAAUUGAAAUCAGACGGCAUAUUUACGAAGACGCCGUAUGAUGAAAACGUUGGCUUAGCAGUUGAGGACAAGGAUUUUCUUGACAUUAUGGAUGCUAAUUUUGAACAAGAUAAAAGCGGUCAAUGGACAGUUCCGCUGCCCUUUAAGGUUAACAGACAACCUUUACAGAGCAAUCAUGGUCUCGCACUCAAACGAGCCAAAUCAUUUGACUAUUCUCUCUCAAAAGAUGAAAGAAAAGCAAAGCAUGUGACCGAUUUCAUGCAAAGGAUGAUAGAUAACAAUCAUGCUGAGGAAGUACCUACUCUUAAAAGUGGAGAAGAACACUGGUAUUUACCAAUUUUUGGGGUUUACCACCCACGUAAGCCUGAUAGCAUCCGCCUUGUAUUUGACAGUAGUGCGAAAUUUGAGAACCAGUCGCUCAAUGAUGUGUUAUUGAAAGGUCCUGAUCUUACCAAUAAAUUAUUAGGAAUCCUACUCAACUUCAGGAAGGAAAAGAUUGCAAUUACAUGUGAUGUCGAACAGAUGUUUUACAAUUUUAAAGUACGUGAAGACCAUAGAGACUUUUUACGAUUCUUGUGGCAUAAACAGAAUGAUUUAUCAAAACCACUUACUGAUUUUAGAAUGAAUGUGCAUGUAUUUGGGAACCGCCCAUCUCCUGCCAUUGCAACCUACGGCUUCCGUAAGACUGUCGAAAAUGAAAAUCAGGAUGUGAGAGAUUUUGUAAACGAUCAUUUCUAUGUAGAUGAUGGACUAAUAUCAUGUCAAAAUAUUAGUGAAGCUGUUAGUCUUAUCAAGCGAACACAGUCAGCUUUAUGGGAUCGUGGAAAGAUGCGUCUCCACAAAAUCACGUCAAAUAGCACAGAACUUCUCGAACAAUUUGACUCAGGCGACCUAGCGAAAGGUUUGAAGGAUUUAGAUUUAAGUUCAGAUGAACUUCCCACUCAGCGCAGCUUAGGUGUGUCAUGGGAUAUAGGAACUGACGAGAUAACAUUUCAAAUAUCCCCAGAUGUGAAACCAUUUACUCGACGUGGAGCACUCUCCACUAUUAACAGCAUUUACGACCCGGUUGGUUUUGCAGCCCCUGUGAUAAUUCGUGGAAAGUUGUUACUACGAGAGAUGAUAGGAUCUAGUGUAGUUAACUGGGACGACAUUCUGUCAGAUUCGUAUCUGGAACAGUGGGAAGCAUGGGUAACUUCACUCAAAGGUCUUGAAACUUUGCGAAUACCUCGUAUGUAUACCACAGUGUCAUUUGCCAUAGCAACUUUACGCGAGAUACAUAUCUUUUCUGAUGCCUCGAAAGAAGCAAUUGGUGCAGUAGCAUACCUAAAACUUAGUGAUGGGAAUUCUACAGAGAUAAGUUUUGUAAUGGGCAAGGCAAAGGUUGCGCCAUCCACAGGGCACACUAUACCCCGUUUAGAAUUGUGCGGCGCUGUACUUGCGGUAGAAAUGGCUGACAUCAUCAAAGAACACCUGAAAAUAGAAACUAAAAACAUGUAUUUUUAUACGGAUAGUCAAGUUGUCCUUGGAUAUAUCAACAACACAAGUCGUCGGUUUUACGUCUAUGUCUGUAAUAGGAUAAGUAGAAUCCGUGCUUCAAGCGACCCAGGACAGUGGUGUUAUGUGUCUAGUGAAAUGAAUCCUGCCGAUAUCGCAACAAGAAGCGUACAGGCAGCAACCCUUCAAAAUACUACAUGGUUUCGCGGACCAUCAUUUCUUCUACAUGAAAUUGACUCUACUUCGAAAACAGAUCAUAAUUUAGUUGAUCCUGAAUUGGAUCGAGAGGUCAGACCUGAAAUACAAACAUUCAAAACUACGUCUGUAGAUAGUAAGCCAUUAGCAUCAGUCUCCUCUCGAUUUGGCAGAUACUCUGAGUGGAGAAAACUCGUGUCAGCGAUCAAUUGUCUUAGAAGUAAAAUUAAACACCACAAAUUAGUAAAAACAUUAAAGUCUAAUACCAUGAACGUUGUAGAACAACUACUGGAAACCGAACGUUUCAUUGUCAAGGAAGUUCAAAAAGAAGAAUUUCAAGAGGAUAUAGAUUCUUUGAUGGGAUGCAACAAACGUCUCCCAAGAAAUAGUUCACUUCUACCCUUAAACCCGUUUCUCGAUUCAAAUGGACUUCUAAGAGUAGGAGGACGUAUCAAACAUAGCGAGCUAAGUGACUCAUGUAAACAACCUAUUAUUAUUCCAAAAGGACAUCAUAUUGCAAUUCUACUCAUAUGCCACUAUCAUGUAAGGGUUGCACAUCAAGGUAGAUCGUUUACAGAAGCAGCGAUAAGAAAUGCAGGCUAUUGGAUUGUUGGUGUUAAACGUCUUAUAAAUUCAGUCAUACGGAAGUGUGUGCAGUGUAAGAAAUUACGAGGAAAACUUUGUACUCAGCAGAUGGCUGAUUUGCCGAAAGACAGGUUAACUCCAAGUCCGCCCUUUUCGUAUGUAGGGGUUGAUGCAUUUGGCCCAUGGCCAGUUACGUUUCGUCGUACACGAGGUGGUGUAUCCCAAUCAAAACGUUGGGCUCUGUUAUUUGCUUGUCUGGUUACUAGAGCUAUUCAUCUGGAAGUUAUUGAGGAACUGAGCAGCUCUUCGUUCAUAAAUGCUUGGCGUCGAUUCAUCGCACUUAGAGGACCAGUUCGACAAGUGAGAUCCGAUAGAGGUACAAACUUUGUGGGGGCAACCCAGGAUCUUUCGAUGAUUGCUCAAUUUGUUGAAGACCGUAAUGUUCAGAACUUUUUAAACGACAAUCGAAUUACAUGGCAGUUUAACCCGCCCCAUGCCUCCCAUUUCGGUGGGGCAUGGGAACGACUUAUCGGAGUGUCUAGGAGAAUAUUGGACUCAUUGCUGUUAGAAAACCGUUUCAAAGACUUGACUCAUGAGAUGUUGACCACCUUUUUAGCAGAAGUAACUGCAAUUGUCAACAACCGACCAUUGACAUGUGUAUCGUAUGACUCUGAGUCACCAAGUGUGCUUACUCCGUCUCUUCUGCUCACUCAAAAAACAGCAGACGACAUUUGUCCAUUUCCAGAUUUUGAGAAAAAAGACUCUAUAAGACAUCAUUGGAAGUAUGUGCAAUUUCUCGCUCAACAAUUCUGGACAAAGUGGCGACAGGAAUAUUUACAUUCAUUGCAAGUACGACCUAAAUGGCAAACGGAAGAACAUAAUGUUAAAGUUGGAACAGUAGUACUCAUGAAAGACAAUAAUUGUGCAAGAAAUUACUGGCCAACUGGUAUCGUUCAAAGAGUUUUCCCCAGUGAGGAUGGAAAAAUUCGUAAAGUUGAACUUCGAAUCAUUCGCGAUGGUCAACCAGUGACUUAUGUGAGACCAAUAUCUCAAAUCGUUUUGCUUGUUGAGCCUGAAUAAACACUGUAAUCUUGAUAAUAACAUUAUUGAUAAUGUAUGUGGGUUUAUCAAAAGAUAAUACUGUGUGGACUUUAGAAUUUUUCAUUUAUUGUGUAUUUAUGAAUUGAACUUGAUUAUGUAUGUAGUGAUUUCUUAUGAAAUCAGGAGGGGAGUGUGCUGACUCCCGGAUUGUUUUACGUAUCGGCACUGUUUGGUUUUUUAUUAGUCAAUAUGUAUUGAUUUUUUAUUUCCGCCAAAUGUGCUUUGAAAGUUUCACGACAGAAAAUUCAUUGUAUUUCGUGUAUAAUGGUGCUGAUACCACAGAUUUUGUACCCUCCCCGGAGGUUCUGUGUAUGAAUAAAGAAUUUACGAUAUUGGAUUUGUCUUCCUUAAGACUGCACAA